rnacentral:tRNA from 1 species
GCUCCCUUAGCUCAGUUGGAUAGAGCAUCGGUCUUCUAAACCGCAGGUCAGGCGUUCGAAUCGCCUAGGGAGCACCA